rnacentral:rRNA from 1 species
GACGAACGCUGGCGGCGUGCCUAAUGCAUGCAAGUCAAGCGAGACUCUUCGAAGUCUAGCGGCGGCCGGGUGAGUAACACGUGGGCAACCUGCCCGUAAGACUGGUAUAACACCGGGAAACCUGUGCUAAUACCGGAUAAUUCUUUUCCUCUCAUGAGGAAAAGCUGAAAGUCGGUUUCGGCUGACACUUACAGACGGGCCCGCGACGCAUUAGCUAGUUGGUGAGGUAACGGCUCACCAAGGCGACGAUGCGUAGCAGACCUGAGAGGGUGAUCGGCCACACUGGGACUGAGACACGGCACAGACUCCUACGGGAGGCAGCAGUAGGGAAUCUUCCACAAUGGACGAAAGUCUGAUGGAGCAACGCCGCGUGAGCGAUGAAGGCCUUCGGGUCGUAAAGCUCUGUUGUUAGGGAAGAACAAGUACCGGAGUAACUGCCGGUACCUUGACGGUACCUAACCAGAAAGCCACGGCUAACUACGUGCCAGCCGCCGCAGUAAAAC